CUUUAUGAGCAUCUCACCAACUGUGUCAGGACUUGAAAGCUAAGUGGUGCUGCCUUGCUUAGUACUUGGAUGGAAGAUUGUAUGAGAAUACAAAGGCUGGAAUGU
rnacentral:rRNA from 1 species